rnacentral:rRNA from 1 species
AGACCGGCGCACGGUUGAGUAACGCGUAUCCUACCUUCCGUACACUCAGGGACAGCCUUUCGAAAGAAAGAUUAAUACCUGAUAGUAUCUUAAGCACACAUGUAAUUAAGAUUAAAGAUUUAUCGGUGUACGAUGGGGAUGCGUUCCAUUAGGUAGUAGGCGGGGUAACGGCCCACCUAGCCAACGAUGGAUAGGGGUUCUGAGAGGAAGGUCCCCCACAUUGGAACUGAGACACGGUCCAAACUCCUACGGGAGGCAGCAGUGAGGAAUAUUGGUCAAUGGACGAGAGUCUGAACCAGCCAAGUAGCGUGAAGGAUGAAGGUCCUACGGAUUGUAAACUUCUUUUAUAAGGGAAUAAACCCUCCCACGUGUGGGAGCUUGUAUGUACCUUAUGAAUAAGCAUCGGCUAACUCCGUGCCAGCAGCCGCGGUAAUACGGAGGAUGCGAGCGUUAUCCGGAUUUAUUGGGUUUAAAGGGAGCGCAGACGGGUCGUUAAGUCAGCUGUGAAAGUUUGGGGCUCAACCUUAAAAUUGCAGUUGAUACUGGCGUCCUUGAGUGCGGUUGAGGUGUGCGGAAUUCGUGGUGUAGCGGUGAAAUGCUUAGAUAUCACGAAGAACUCCGAUUGCGAAGGCAGCACACUAAUCCGUAACUGACGUUCAUGCUCGAAAGUGUGGGUAUCAAACAGGAUUAGAUACCCUGGUAGUCCACACGGUAAACGAUGGAUACUCGGGGUUGGUGAUACAC